rnacentral:rRNA from 1 species
UACGGGGGGGGCAAGCGUUGUUCGGAAUUACUGGGCGUAAAGGGCUCGUAGGCGGCCAACUAAGUCGGAUGUGAAAUCCCCAGGCUUAACCUGGGAACUGCAUCCGAUACUGGAUGGCUUGAAUCCGGGAGAGGGACGUGGAAUUCCAGGUGUAGCGGUGAAAUGCGUAGAUAUCUGGAGGAACACCGGUGGCGAAGGCGGCGAUCCUGGACCAAUAUUGGACCAGCUGAGGAGCGAAAGCCA